rnacentral:rRNA from 1 species
ACAGAUAAGGAGCUUGCUCCUUUGACGUUAGCGGCGGACGGGUGAGUAACACGUGGGUAACCUACCUAUAAGACUGGGAUAACUUCGGGAAACCGGAGCUAAUACCGGAUAACAUUUGGAACCGCAUGGUUCUAAAGUGAAAGAUGGUUUUGCUAUCACUUAUAGAUGGACCCGCGCCGUAUUAGCUAGUUGGUAAGGUAACGGCUUACCAAGGCGACGAUACGUAGCCGACCUGAGAGGGUGAUCGGCCACACUGGAACUGAGACACGGUCCAGACUCCUACGGGAGGCAGCAGUAGGGAAUCUUCCGCAAUGGGCGAAAGCCUGACGGAGCAACGCCGCGUGAGUGAUGAAGGGUUUCGGCUCGUAAAACUCUGUUAUUAGGGAAGAACAAACGUGUAAGUAACUGUGCACGUCUUGACGGUACCUAAUCAGAAAGCCACGGCUAACUACGUGCCAGCAGCCGCGGUAAUACGUAGGUGGCAAGCGUUAUCCGGAAUUAUUGGGCGUAAAGCGCGCGUAGGCGGUUUCUUAAGUCUGAUGUGAAAGCCCACGGCUCAACCGUGGAGGGUCAUUGGAAACUGGGAAACUUGAGUGCAGAAGAGGAAAGUGGAAUUCCAUGUGUAGCGGUGAAAUGCGCAGAGAUAUGGAGGAACACCAGUGGCGAAGGCGACUUUCUGGUCUGUAACUGACGCUGAUGUGCGAAAGCGUGGGGAUCAAACAGGAUUAGAUACCCUGGUAGUCCACGCCGUAAACGAUGAGUGCUAAGUGUUAGGGGGUUUCCGCCCCUUAGUGCUGCAGCUAACGCAUUAAGCACUCCGCCUGGGGAGUACGACCGCAAGGUUGAAACUCAAAGGAAUUGACGGGGACCCGCACAAGCGGUGGAGCAUGUGGUUUAAUUCGAAGCAACGCGAAGAACCUUACCAAAUCUUGACAUCCUUUGAAAACUCUAGAGAUAGAGCCUUCCCCUUCGGGGGACAAAGUGACAGGUGGUGCAUGGUUGUCGUCAGCUCGUGUCGUGAGAUGUUGGGUUAAGUCCCGCAACGAGCGCAACCCUUAAGCUUAGUUGCCAUCAUUAAGUUGGGCACUCUAGGUUGACUGCCGGUGACAAACCGGAGGAAGGUGGGGAUGACGUCAAAUCAUCAUGCCCCUUAUGAUUUGGGCUACACACGUGCUACAAUGGACAAUACAAAGGGCAGCUAAACCGCGAGGUCAUGCAAAUCCCAUAAAGUUGUUCUCAGUUCGGAUUGUAGUCUGCAACUCGACUACAUGAAGCUGGAAUCGCUAGUAAUCGUAGAUCAGCAUGCUACGGUGAAUACGUUCCCGGGUCUUGUACACACCGCCCGUCACACCACGAGAGUUUGUAACACCCGAAGCCGGUGGAGUAACCAUUAU